AUUGAACGCUGGCGGCAUGCUUUACACAUGCAAGUCGAACGGCAGCGGGGCGUUCGGCCUGCCGGCGAGUGGCGAACGGGUGAGUAAUGCAUCGGAACGUGCCCAGUCGUGGGGGAGUAACACAUCGAAAGAUGUGCUAAUACCGCAUACGUCCUGAGGGAGAAAGCGGGGGAGUCUUCGGACCUCGCGCGAUUGGAGCGGCCGAUGUCGGAUUAGCUAGUUGGUGGGGUAAAGGCCCACCAAGGCGACGAUCCGUAGCGGGUCUGAGAGGAUGAUCCGCCACACUGGGACUGAGACACGGCCCAGACUCCUACGGGAGGCAGCAGUGGGGAAUUUUCGGCAAUGGGGGAAACCCUGACCGAGCAAUGCCGCGUGAACGAUGAAGGUCUUCGGAUUGUAAAGUUCUGUGAUUGGGGAAGAAUGGUAUUCUUAGGGGAAUGAGGAGUACAUGACGGUACCCGAUUAGAAAGCCCCGGCUAACUAUGUGCCAGCAGCCGCGGUAAUUACG
rnacentral:rRNA from 1 species